CCUACGGGAGGCAGCAGGGGGGAAUAUUGCACAAUGGGCGCAAGCCUGAUGCAGCCAUGCCGCGUGUAUGAAGAAGGCCUUCGGGUUGUAAAGUACUUUCAGCGGGGAGGAAGGUGUUGAGGUUAAUAACCUCAGCAAUUGACGUUACCCGCAGAAGAAGCACCGGCUAACUCCGUGCCAGCAGCCGCGGUAAU
rnacentral:rRNA from 1 species